GGUCAGAUGGCCGAGCGGUCUAAGGCGCCAGACUAAGGAUCAACUUCGAUUGAAGUAGAAUUUGUACCCACUGCAAUCUGGUCCUCCGGGGCGUGGGUUCGAAUCCCACUCUGAUCA